rnacentral:misc_RNA from 1 species
UUUCCAAAUAAAUAAUUCAUUCUAAUUGAAAAUUUUACUCAAAUUCGUUUGUUUCCUUUUCUUCUUCUCUUUUUCUUUUUUCUUUCGGAAUUAACAAUAAGAAAAAUUAGCUAGGAGAUGUUGGGUAACUUAGCAAGCCACCCGUCUGAAUCAACAUAUGACAAACUCAAAAAAUUGCUAAGCUCACUAGCAUCGAGUUUUUUUACCCAAGGUACACGCUUGGAAGUGUCUGCUCCUGGUCCUUUAUUUUCAACCUCCACAUAAGUAAAAUUUCCUCUGCAAUUGUCAAUGUAAGCAGAAACAUUCAUUAAUUACUGUCGGGUGACCAUAAAUUUAAUUAGCAUUGAAAGCAGAUAACAAAAUGGAGAUGAUUGAGAGCAACAUCAAAAUUAAUCUUACUCCUGGUGAACGUAGUCCCACGCAUCCCAACCUUGAGGCACUACAACAUCAGACAGGGUAGAGUUAUGGACCACUACAGUAGAAAAGGGCCCCCAAGCUCUUCCAAGAUAAGCUUUACCAGUUCCAUUGAUUUCACAAUUUUUGAACACAAAACCACUCUCAUUUUCUGCCCAUUCUUUCUUUUGUGCUGUUAUAUAUCCAGGUAAUUCUGGUUCGUAUCUUCCUAUGUUAACAAAUAUUAUGCAUUUCUCGUAAAUGGAUUUGCCUUUGCCAAAAAUGAAAUCUAUAGCACCUUCAAUGUAGCAUUUGUUCAAGUAAUGGCGACCCUUCUCAUCCCAGAAGGUAUCUUGUACCCCUAGAAAGGCACAAUCAUAGAAAGCAGACUUGUCCCCUCUUAUCCUAGCGGACACAGCUUGGCCAUUUGGGCUAUUGUAAGUAUUCUUGAAUGUGAUGCCUUUUGCUACGAUGUUUUCAGGAUAGGAAGUGAAGGUGGCACUCGACCCUGUCACUCCAUGAUCACCCCAUUCGAUCCUUGUCAACUCACUACCUUCUCCUUGGAGAAAGAUGCAUGGUUUAUUCACAGGAAUUGUAACUUUUUCCCUGUAUGUUUCAGGAGAAAUUUGAAUACGUAUCCACUGAGUAUUCCCAUCAGGAAUCGAAUCAAUGGCGCUUUGAAUUGUAGUGAAGUUUCCUUUGCCUGACUUAUCAACAGUAAUUGUAUAUGCGACUUUGUAAUUGCUUGAUUCAUUUAAUUGGCAAUCCAAAGCCUUACAUGCACUGGAACAGAUGACCAAUAUCCAAAUGAACCAAAAUGAACGGCGAAAUUCCAUUUUUAUGAAGAUUCAAAGAAUAGCCUCUUUCCAAGAGAUAUGUUAGCUAGCUAGCUAACUAGCUAUAAUUU